rnacentral:tRNA from 2 species
GCGGGCGUGGUGGAAUGGCAGACACGAUGGUUUUAGGAGCCAUUGCUGCGGCGUGCGGGUUCAAGUCCCGCCGCCCGCACCA